rnacentral:rRNA from 1 species
ACUGCUAAUACCGCAUAAGACCACAGUACCGCAUGGUACAGUGAUCAAAGGAUUUAUUCGCUGAAGGAUGGCUUCGCGUCCGAUUAGGUAGUUGGUGAGGUAACGGCCCACCAAGCCUACGAUCGGUAGCCGGACUGAGAGGUUGAUCGGCCACAUUGGGACUGAGACACGGCCCAGACUCCUACGGGAGGCAGCAUG